UACGUAGGGACCAAGCGUUGUUCGGAUUUACUGGGCGUAAAGGGCUCGUAGGCGGCCAACUAAGUCAGACGUGAAAUCCCCAGGCUCAACCUGGGAACUGCGUCUGAUACUGGAUGGCUUGAAUCCGGGAGAGGGAUGCAGAAUUCCAGGUGUAGCGGUGAAAUGCGCAGAUAUCAGGAGGAACACCGGUGGCGAAGGCGGAUCUCUGGGCCGAUACUGACGCUGAGGAGCGAAAGCGUGGGGAGCGAACAGG
rnacentral:rRNA from 1 species